UUUUUUCAUAUUCAGGUUUUUGUAGUAAUGUGGACCUAACAUUAAUAUUUCAUAAAAUACAACUCUCUUUUUCUUUUUUUUUUAGAGAAUAAACUGUAUAUAUACAAACUCAUAUAUUAUGUUUUAACUAAAAGAAUAAUCAACAAUACCAUAACAAUAAAGUUUGAAAAAGUUGCUAUUUAAACCAUCUAUUUCUUACAAAAGGGUAGUCGACACUAAUCAAAC
rnacentral:lncRNA from 1 species